rnacentral:siRNA from 1 species
UAUUCUAUUGUGCCUCUACCUCA